rnacentral:rRNA from 1 species
UACAGAGGUCUCAAGCGUUGUUCGGAUUCAUUGGGCGUAAAGGGUGCGUAGGUGGCGGGGUAAGUCAGGUGUGAAAUCUCGGGGCUCAACCCCGAAACUGCAUUUGAUACUGCCUUGCUCGAGUACUGGAGAGGAGAUUGGAAUUUACGGUGUAGCAGUGAAAUGCGUAGAUAUGCGGAGGAACACCGAUGGCGAAGGCAAUCCCCUGGGCCUGCACUGACGCUCAUGCACGAAAGCGUGGGGAGCAAACAGG